rnacentral:rRNA from 2 species
UAUCAAUAAGCGGAGGAAAAGAAACCAACAGGGAUUGCCCCAGUAACGGCGAGUGAAGCGGCAACAGCUCAAAUUUGAAAUCUGGCCCCCAGGGCCCGAGUUGUAAUUUGCAGAGGAUGCUUUUGGCGCGGUGCCUUCCGAGUUCCCUGGAACGGGACGCCAUAGAGGGUGAGAGCCCCGUCUGGUCGGACGCCUAGCCUGUGUAAAGCUCCUUCGACGAGUCGAGUAGUUUGGGAAUGCUGCUCUAAAUGGGAGGUAUAUGUCUUCUAAAGCUAAAUACCGGCCAGAGACCGAUAGCGCACAAGUAGAGUGAUCGAAAGAUGAAAAGCACUUUGAAAAGAGGGUUAAAUAGUACGUGAAAUUGUUGAAAGGGAAGCGCUUGUGACCAGACUUGGGCCCGGUGGAUCAUCCAGCGUUCUCGCUGGUGCACUCCGCCGGGUUCAGGCCAGCAUCAGUUCGCCGCGGGGGAAAAAGGCUUCGGGAACGUGGCUCCUACGGGAGUGUUAUAGCCCGUUGCAUAAUACCCUGGGGCGGACUGAGGUUCGCGCUCCGCAAGGAUGCUGGCGUAAUGGUCAUCAGCGACCCGUCUUGAAACACGGACCAAGGAGUCGUCUUCGUAUGCGAGUGUUCGGGUGUAAAACCCCUACGCGUAAUGAAAGUGAACGCAGGUGAGAGCUUCGGCGCAUCAUCGACCGAUCCUGAUGUUCUCGGAUGGAUUUGAGUAAGAGCAUACGGGGCCGGACCCGAAAGAAGGUGAACUAUGCCUGUAUAGGGUGAAGCCAGAGGAAACUCUGGUGGAGGCUCGCAGCGGUUCUGACGUGCAAAUCGAUCGUCAAAUAU